GCACCCUGCUGCUGGAGGGAUUAUUAAGAAAAUAAGAGACGGAGCUGAGUGCCGUGAGAUGGCCAGGGGUCUAGAUCACACAGUACACCAGGAAAAGCUGAGGGAACCAGAAUAUGGGUGGAAGAAGAGAUGCCAGAUAAGUAAAAAGAGAAGCUUCUGUAUGAGGAGAAAUUAAAGGGACCAGACCUCAAAGAGGAUUUUGGUCCUAAAUAUUCCAGGGAGAGAGAGAUGGGAAUAGAAGAAACACCAACUGUGAACAGCCACAAAUCUGCUUGCAUUUUGAAGCAACCAGCCAACUUAAAAACCAAAUGAGGCUUUCUUCCCUCAGUAACAAUCACAAACAAUGCACCUCCCAGAUUUUUAUUUUUUUAAAACUCCUUCAAUUCAUAAACCACAGGCUUUGCUAUGGCCUCAAUCCUUUGAGGAGAUCCUUGAACCCAUACAAUCCUUUACUAAGCUCCACGAGAACAGGUUUGGGAACCAGAUCAUAUACCUGUGGUAUUGUUUUUGUUGCACCUGUGUGUUAUGCUCCCAGCAUACCAUGUGCUUUGCAAAAAUCACAAA